rnacentral:ncRNA from 1 species
GCAACAGCGAACGGCGAGGAGUCAGCAGAGGCCAUAGUACCCGAAAGGGGAAGGG